UAGCCAAAUUAGCCGUGCUAGACGUUCGGCGCGUGACGAAGUAAGCUGACCAAGAGGCCAUCGUACCUGGGGGGACUGUUGCCGAAUCCACGCCAGCGCGCCUCUACAAGUUUGAUAUCUCUACACGAACCAUUCAUCGUACCCAUUGUCGGCAGAUAUGACACGAACUGUCAUAGCGGUGAGUUGGCAGAUGUAUAGACAGAUGUAAUGAUAGAAGGAAGAGAAAGUGCAUCUAUAUGCAACCAGGUGUUGAAUUUUAGAUUAUUGAUAAUGCACUAAUUUUGGAACAAUUUGAACUAGAAUAUUUGUGAACUAGUGUGUAUACCAGAAGGAAUUCGUAGUCCUUAAUAUCUCCGUACGCUUAACCUAAAUUACUAGUGAACACUUACAAGCUAAAGGUACGGAUUGUAAGUACGAAUCGAUAGUACGGAUUGAACGAACAAAAUCGCUCGCUCACACAUAAACAGCAAGCGAUUUGCAGCAGGCAACAACGUUAGACCGGCUCAAGAAGACAGACAGAUAUACUGGACUUGGCAUAGCAAGGAGACUAAACGUAAGUUAGACGUAUAGACUAAGGAUUAUCUGUGACUAUCUAAUGUUGGUUCU